rnacentral:rRNA from 1 species
UACGUAGGGUCCGAGCGUUGUCCGGAGUUACUGGGCGUAAAGCGCGCGCAGGCGGCGGUGUAAGCAUGGCGUGAAAGCCCCAGGCUCAACCUGGGAGGGUCGUCGUGGACUGCACCGCUUGAGGGCGAUAGGGCUGGUGGAAUGCCUGGUGUAGUGGUGAAAUGCGUAGAGAUCAGGCGGAACACCCGUGGCGAAGGCGGCCAGCUGGGUCGUCCCUGACGCUGAGGCGCGAAGGCGUGGGGAGCGAACAGG